rnacentral:rRNA from 1 species
UACGUAGGGCGCAAGCGUUAUCCGGAAUUAUUGGGCGUAAAGAGCUCGUAGGCGGUUUGUCGCGUCUGCCGUGAAAGUCCGGGGCUCAACUCCGGAUCUGCGGUGGGUACGGGCAGACUAGAGUGAUGUAGGGGAGACUGGAAUUCCUGGUGUAGCGGUGAAAUGCGCAGAUAUCAGGAGGAACACCAGCGGCGAAGGCGGCGCUCUGGGCCGGAACUGACGCUGAGGAGCGAAAGCGUGGGGAGCAAACAGG